rnacentral:tRNA from 1 species
GGGUGCUUAUCUCAGUUGGUAGAGCAGCGCCCUUACACGGCGUAGUUCGGCGGUUCGAGCCCGUCAGCACCCACCA